GCGUGGAGAGCACACGGU
rnacentral:snRNA from 1 species